GACGAGGUGGCCGAGUUAUUAAGGCGACGGACUGCUAAUUCAUUGUGCUCUGCAUGCAUGGGUUUAAAUCCCAUCUUCGUCG